UGGAGAAAAUACCAUUCCUCAUGUUGCAAGCUGAGAUGGGAGCUGCGCUGAGCAUCCUUAUGGACUGGGCCAGUGCUGGUUGGGUGCAGCACUCGGAGAAAGGGGUGCACGAUGCUCUGCUUCUUCCCUGUACUUCUUUUUCCCUUAAUGCAUCCUUCGCUCACCAGCAAACGUGCUGGGAGUGCCCUGCAGGUGGGCAGCACAGCUGCAGCUGGGCAGGGUGAUUGGCAGUGCUGGGUCCCAGCAGCUCCUUGGCUGCACAGGGGAGCUUGGAGGCACGGAGGAGGACUGGGCGUGACUGCCUGCUCCUGGCUGAGAUUGACAUGGGCAAACCUUGGCCGCCAGCUUCGAGAGCCGCUCGGGGGCUGAUCUGCUUGGUUCUCCUCUGCACCUUAAAUUCUCUUUUAUCUCUCCGCGUGACACCGCCGAGCUGCAAACAGCUGGAGCGCCGUUCUGCCUGCAGCUGGAUGAAAAGCAAACCUUUGGCCCCUGGUUUUUGCACCAAGCACGGGACCUUUGCCAUUGCAGGGGUGAGGUGGUCCGUGGCGACUGAGCACCUCGGCCUGUGUGCAAAAGCACUUCAUCUCAUGCCAAAGCAGCCUGCCAGCCAUGAGCCAGAUGCACGGGAGGUCUUGCUGUUCCAUCCUUAAGUACUGUGCUGAUUUUACACUGCAGUUUGUUAAGUAGAACAGGACUCACAGAAUGACUUUGGAUGCACUGUGCCAGCCGUCUGCCUCUCCAUCGCCCCGCUCCAGGACACACUGGGACGUGCUGGCUCUAUGUAAAAGUGCCAUCCCAAGCUGAUUAUCUCCAUGAGCUCACCACGAACCCCCACUGACAUCACUGACAGCACAGCCUGCAAGGGAUCACCAAACAGGGACCCACAUACAGGGAACAGCUGGUUAAUCAGUUCAAGUGGCUGGGAACCAGUUUACCGUGCAUUAAGUAUCCUUUGAUUCAGUUUAAUUGGGACAUCGCAGAGACCCCGACGUCCAGUAAUAAGGACAGUGGGAAGCUGAUCAGACAGCUCGUUAACACUCAAUUAAUGUCGCUCAGUGCAGCACAGCAGUAACUUUUAAAAAAUGUAUGUGUGCAGCCGAGGUGGAAUUAAAUGGUGAUGGCAAUUUCCAGAGUGCACGAUGUGAGAUCUGCGCGCGGCGCGGUGUUAACUUUGUGUGCGUGUGCAAUUGAAGUGGAAUUAAAAGUUGAAGUGCAAUUUUUUAGGUGAAUGCAGUCACUUUACACAGCACAGAAUUAGUUCAUUUCUAAUUUAUAGGUGCAAUUAAAGUGCACUAAGAAUAAAAUUCA